GAUGAACGCUAGCGGCAGGCUUAAUACAUGCAAGUCGAGGGGCAGCAUGAUUGUAGCAAUACAAUUGAUGGCGACCGGCAAACGGGUGCGGAACACGUACACAACCUCCCAAUAAGUGGGGAAUAGCCCAGAGAAAUUUGGACUAAUACCCCGUAACAUAACGAUGUGGCAUCACAUUGUUAUUAUAGAUUUUUCGCUUAUUGAUGGGUGUGCGGCUGAUUAGACAGUUGGCGGGGUAACGGCCCACCAAGUCUACGAUCAGUAGCUGAUGUGAGAGCAUGAUCAGCCACACGGGCACUGAGACACGGGCCCGACUCCUACGGGAGGCAGCAGUAAGGAAUAUUGGACAAUGGACGCAAGUCUGAUCCAGCCAUGCCGCGUGAAGGAUUAAGGUCCUCUGGAUUGUAAACUUCUUUUAUAAGGGACGAAAAAAGGCUUUUCUAAGUCGUCUGACGGUACCUUAUGAAUAAGCACCGGCUAACUCCGUGCCAGCCGCCGCCGUAACAC
rnacentral:rRNA from 1 species